AGAACGAACGCUGGCGGCAGGCCUAACACAUGCAAGUCGAACGCCCGUAGCAAUACGGGAGUGGCAGACGGGUGAGUAACGCGUGGGAACGUACCUUUCGGUUCGGAAUAACCCGGGGAAACUCGGGCUAAUACCGGAUACGUCCGCAAGGAGAAAGAUUUAUCGCCGAAAGAUCGGCCCGCGUCGGAUUAGCUAGUUGGUGAGGUAACGGCCCACCAAGGCGACGAUCCGUAGCUGGUCUGAGAGGAUGAUCAGCCACACUGGGACUGAGACACGGCCCAGACUCCUACGGGAGGCAGCAGUGGGGAAUAUUGGACAAUGGGCGAAAGCCUGAUCCGGCCAUGCCGCGUGAGUGAAGAAGGCCUUAGGGUUGUAAAGCUCUUUCAGCGGGGAAGAUAAUGACGGUACCCGCAGAAGAAGUCCCGGCUAACUUCGUGCCAGCAGCCGC
rnacentral:rRNA from 1 species